CGCUUCAGCCCCUGGGGCACCUCCAGGGACUACUUGCCUCGUGCGUCAGCGAGUGGCAGAGCGUCACAUAUACGCCCCCCUCCGUUUUGCCCUACUCCACUCCUCCCCUUCUUUUUCCUCCCUCUCCACCUCCCUCCCUCCCCAUCUCUUCCCACUCCUCCCUCGCUCUCCCUUAGCGUGUUCCACGCGAGCAGAGAGACCCGGCGGACCCACAGGGUUCCAGAGCACUGAAGAGCUAAAAAUAUAACGGGUGUGCUAGCAACAGCCUUCUGAUUGGUCGGGGAGCAGGGAGAGGCGGUAUCUGAUUGGGUUUCCUUUCCAACAGCUAGGAUUAAGAAUGCGGGCCAAGAACCGUGGCGCUCGGCCCAAGGGGACAGUGUGCGUUUGCGCAGUGAGGCAUUGCAAAGGAUGCUGGUAUUUGAAGUUAUUCAUUAGAGGCAACCUUGGAAAUAGAUCCACUGCUCCAGCCGGGCAGCAACAAAGACAACCACAACAAAACUGACUUUGGAGAAGUGAUUGGAUGCAGGACAAAAUGAUUUGCUAUUUAUUCACCACCAAUACGGUCUAAAUGUUGUGCGAGAUGAGGAUGUGCUCUCUGUAACUGGCUGGCUUUUGCUGAGUAUGCUGUGAAUGAAGAGCAUGAAGAGGAAGAUGGAAGGACUGGUAAGAAACCUUAGAGGUUGAAACAGUAUUUGUUUUGUGUAUGUGUGUGUGUGUAUAUAUAAUAUUUAUUUAUUUUUGGAAGAGCGCUAGCAGGGGAGGAGCAGAGAGAGGGGGACAGAGGAUCUGAAGUGGGCUCUGUGCUGACAGGCUGACAGUAGCAGGCUUGAUGUGGGGCUUGAACUCACGAACAGUGAGAUCAUGACCUGAGCCAAAGUUGGAUGCUUACCUGACUGAGCCACCCAGGUGCUCCUACAAGUAUUUGUGAACUGAGCUAGAAGGUAUUUUAAAAAUACCUGCAAAAGUCUGCCAGUAGCUCUUUUAGCAACCGCAUGUCUAAAUACUAAAAAUUUCACCCUUUUUCAGCCCUUCCAGAGGAUUGGCAGAUUUCCCCAUUCCUAGCAUAGGGAACUUUUAAUUUUAGGCAGCUGUAGCUUGAAUCGUAAAUACGUCUUAUGGCCAUUUAAUUUCUAAAAUUUCAUUAAAAAUCUUGGGGCGCCUGGGUGGCUCAGUCGGUUGGGCGUCCGACUUCAGCUCAGGUCAUAAUCUCACCGUCCGUGAGUUCAGGCCCCGUGUCAG